GGACUGUAUAGUCCAUGGACUUCUCCAGGCCAGAAUACUGGAGGGGAUAGCCUUUCCCUUCUCCAGGGGAUCUUCCCUACCCAGAGACUGAACCCGGGUCUCUUGCAUUGCAGGCAGAUUCUUUACCAGCUGAGCCACUAAGGAAGCCCAAGAAUACUGCAGUGGAUAGCCUAUCUCUUCUCCAGCGAAUCUUCCCAACCCAGGAAUCGAACUGGGGUCUCCUGCAUUGCAGGCAGAUUCUUUACCAGCCUGCCCCCACCCUUCUCUGGGUGCCCCUCUGUGCCUGCUUGGCCUGGGCCCUUAGCCGCACAGAAGAAGCAUCCAGAAUUGGAGGCUGGGUCCUCCCACUGGAAGUAUCCCCCAUCUUAAUCCGUGGAUGGCUAAUCUCACCUUCAAGAUGCAUCUUGAAAGCCACCGUCUGCAGGAAGCUUCCCAGAUCUCCGCCAAGGUAAGGUGGACGUGCAAACAACUGCUCAGAGUGCUGGCACUCAGGAACGCACUGUGCAAACAGCGAGCACCUACUCUCUGCUGUUACACACGCCGGAUGUCGAGAGGCACCAAGAGGGUGGUGUGCUCACGGUCAAGCACCAGCCGGACGUGAGG
ensembl:lncRNA